AGCCAGUGGCCCUGACUGUAGCCUUGGGUAGGUACUGCCAUGUCCACCCUCUUGGCAGUCCUGUCCCCAGGCCUGUGAGGAGCAAAACAAAGUGUAACUUCCAGCUGCCACCUCUCCUGUGAGCUGCAGGUAGGUUACCUGCUUAUUCAAUGGUCCCUGUGAAUGAUUUCAUGGAUUUAUGGAAACAUCCAUGUCAGACCCUCGGCGCCUCAGAGGCAUCAAGGAAAAUGUACACCUGGAGCUCUGAAGAUUGCCAUUAGUUGUGACACUUCCAAUAGGAAGCUCUGUAAUUUGGAAUGCAGAGGAAGGAAACCUACUGGAUUAAAACAGAGGAAGACAGAAAAUUCUUCAGAUUUUCAAAUGUGGAGAAAAGAGACCUCAGCUACCUCCCAGUGCAUAACCAGUUCUGCCUUUCAUGACUGCACCAUGACAAGUAUCUCAUAAUGCACUGCAAUUCUUCCCUGCAUGCAAGCGCAUCAAAAUGGCUACACAUCUGAUGUUGUGUUUGGUUCUCAGUUUCAGAUAAAACUACUUGCAUAAAUAAUCUUGUAAAACUUCUGGGGUUUUUAUCUCUUGUAUUUAUUAGUGCAUACUGACACCAUGAUAAUUAUAUCACUGCAAUGAUACCAAUUGAAAAUUCUGAUUAAAUGACUUGCACAGAUCCAGCUUCAUUUCUGAAGGAAGUGUGCUUGAUAUCAGUGUUUUCCCAAAGGGCAGAAUUAUCGAAAGUGCAGGGUGGGGCUGAAAAAAGGAACAACUUCAGUCAGUCAUUAACUUUUUAGUAAAAGACAAUAUGCUUCACACCAAAUAA